CCUUCUGUCCACACAUAGCUGCUCGCACACCAGCCUCAUGCCCUGCCCUUCUAGCAGGUCUGGUGCGGCUGGAUUUCCCCUGCAACACCAGAUGGUUUUUGACACUAGACUGUCCAGCUGCUGAAAGAUGCUCAGCUGUGAGGAGCAGAAAACCCAAAUAAAGGCAUCUCAACAGAAAGAAAAACUCCCAGAAGACCCUGCAGCGUCUUAACCUCACCUACCUUCACAUGCUAAGAACACUUCUGUUAGCCCAGAGUGGAGCAAAAUCAUCAACAACGAAGAGGACGUCAUAAUAAAGUGCUGGGAAGCUCCCGUAAUGCAUCUGAUUUUGUGCUAAAGGUGGAAAAGAGUCUCUAGAGAGCUGGCUGUGUCCUCAGGAUCUCAGACCUCAGCAUGUUGCCCAGCAUCACAAGAAAGAACCACUAUCCAGAGAAAGAUCACAACUGGAAAGCUGUGUGAGGGAAUGCAUACUGCUUUUGUUCCAUCCUAAAGUCAAGAAGCUUUAAGUCGAGCCGUCAUAAGUCGGGACCAUUGUAAUUACAGACCCAGAACAAGAGCUGCUGUGGAGUGUUCUCAGUGACACCCUCAGAGGUACCACCCUCACAUGGCCUCCCCCCUCAACGACCCCACUGUUACUUGGCCCCCUGGCAUUUGCAGCGUUUUCAUGCAACUCGGCAAAAAGAGGUAUUUCCUCUCAUGUGUGUGCUACAGGCUGUUGGUGAAGAAAUCCUUCUCCAGAUCUGACUUUGGAGAUGCCCCAUAAGGACCGUUGAUGAAGCUUAGACCCAAACCCAUGACCACCCACCAUGACAGGCUUAUAAUGUUCACCAUUCACCUCUGGAGACUGGAAGAGUAGGUUGUCUGGGGGUCCCCUUCAAGGCCUAAGAGAAAAGAUGGGUGACAUUACUCAACUGUGAGCUCCUUGGAAAGAAGCCAUGCCUGUCAUCCUGCUCUCCCUGCCCCCAUGCCUAGUCAAGGGCCAUUAAGAGGCAGGCCCCCAGCUGGACAGGUCAGCAUGUUCACAGUCCCCUGCUGAGGGAAGAGGGGUGGGCUCUCCCUGUGUCCAGGGGAUGCUAUCUGUUCAUUGCACCUCAGGCCACAGAUGAUUGGCUGAGAGUCAGUCACCUGACCUAAGGGAAGUUACAUCAUGGACCAGCCAAUCACCAUGUGAUAAGUAGCCUAGUUCUUCAGAGGGUCUCAGGAUCUACCACAACCAAUAACCCAUAGCCCCUCAAGGAAAGGGACGGGUCUGGGGACUCACAGACCUGACGGCAUCUGCAAAGACAUAACUGAUGUUACACCAGAGGAUUACUUAAAUGGAAGGCCUUGGGAAUCCCUGACCUGCAAUCCCUCAUGGCAACUUGAAAGGUAGCUUGUUGAGGGGUUUCAAGAAUGUCAUGUCUCUCUUGGCCAACCUUUCUGAGUUUCAGCAUCUCUGUCCAGUCAAAAUCUUUCAAGAGUACCUAGUUCAGAGCCUACCUCAAAACAUCCCUCUUACAUCUAGGCAGGAAUGGCAAAAUCUUGCAUAUGCUUGACCACACCCAACCAAUACCCAUGGCAGACAUCACUAAUUAAUCAAGAGUUUGUUCCCCACUGAGCAAAAUAAAGGCCUCAGAAUCAUAUCAUCAUAGCCCCCAGCUGUCCAGUCAUUCUGCCUGGCACUCAACGUGAGAUCUGUUCACCACCUGACAUCUACACUCAUCGAAAACACUGGGAUCUUGGGAAAAUCACUUCCGUCUUGGCUUCAAUUUCUUCAACUAUAACAUAAAAUAACUUUUAUGUCCCUGCCAGCCCUGUGUCUAUAAAAGUGAAUUGGAUAAUUCUACACUGUGGAUAGUAGAGGGAAAUUCUGUUGGUAUCAAAAGCAGAUUCAUGGACACGUUAGUAUGUUUACUGGCAAUAGAUUUGUCUUCCCUAUUUUAUUUGCAUCAGAGUGGGCCAUGAAGUUGAGGAGUUGAUUGGAUUCUGGCCAGGCAGGUCAGCCCUGCCCUCUAGAAACCAUUUCUCUCUUCCUGGUGGGCCCUAGAGCCAAUAGAGCCCUAACACUUCUCUUCAGACUGGGACAUUCCUGUCCCACUCAGCACCUCCCUACAGGAGAGCCAAGACUGACAUGCCUGCCACUCACCCUAUCCCCCACUUGUCCUGCCCCCUGUCCUGGAGAGAAGCUGUAUCUCCCCAGUGGGGUCCACACAGCCUUUCUCAGUUUCCUGUCAGCAGCCAAGCCGUCCUGGCUGCUCAGCUCCCAGCCAUCCAGACAGGGAUGCAUCAGAGGGAGGGGAGAGGACAGGGCAGCCCACUUGCCACCAAACACUAUAAAAGAGAGAGCAUUAAAUCUUGGCCUCCACCAGGGAACUGCCUUAAUUAGGGUGGCGCCAAGCAGGACGCCAUAAUUAACUGUGUGUCUGUAUUUCCAUCCCAAACACCCAUUUCCAGUGCUUUGUGAUCCAGUCUUCUAAGAGAAUCUCAGCCAGAAACACAACACCAGCUGCCCAAAGGGGAGGGCGGCCAAUUUUCCUUCUUCUUAUAGACCCACUCGGGGUGAAUCUCUGAAGGUGGGAGUUGAGGGUCCUUCCUAGAAAGGGUAUUAAUUGUGGGCUCAGAGCUACUGGCUCUGCCUAGUCCUCAAAGCCAGGAAAACCAAAAAGUUGGGUCUGUGCAAAUCCAAGUACUUGGACAACAUCAUUAUUCCAGCAACUUGGAUUUCGUCUGGGGAACCAGCUCUAGGGACAGUCCCAUGAGGUAGGCUAGCCAGUCAGAGCAUUCGUUCCCUGGCCGCAGUGAUUGGCCCAGAGCUGGUCCUGUGACGCAUGCUGACCAAUAGGAAUGCAGGGCUCUGAAUGGCAUUAUUGGGAAAUAGGCAUUUGCUUUCCACUGGAGGUGCUAAACUAGUGGGGUGUCUGUCUGGAGCUACUGAGGACAAUGUCACCUCAUAAGGAGAGUGCCUGAGAUUGAAGCCAAAUUGAAGAAAACAGGGAGAAAAAAUGGAAGAUGCCAGAGAAAGAGGGAGAACUGAUGACAUCCUUUGAGCAGCUGCCUUUAGCCAAAACUGAAGCAAAUGUCCCACAGACUCUGAAUCAAAUGAUCGGCCAUAAAUGUCCCGUUUUCAUUUAUGUCACCUUGAACUCAGCUUUGCAACUUAGGGAGACUUAACAAAAACAGAGGUCACUAGACGGACUCAAUAAAAUGCAAUGAACACACAUACACUCUGUGCCCAUGAUGUGCCAGGCAGCAAGGAGAGGGCGAAAUGCAAAAGUAGACAAGAAUGGACACCCAGCCUUGGUGAGCUCUGGCCUCUUGGGGAAGAGAAGAUAUAGGGUCAACUGAAUUCCUAUUCCAGUGCUCCCUCCCUCGAAGCUGCCUUCCAUCUCAGCAGCUUGGAUCGUUGUCCCAGAGCAGUACAUCAUCCCUUCAUCGGCAAGCUGCAGUGGUGCCUACCCUUCCAUCUGUUUACAGUUCCUUGUUCUUGAGUGACUUGUGUGAAGUCCCUUGUGCAAGACGACCAUGGUUAUAAUAGUGGUCAUAUGCCCAGACCAGAAUCCUAAGGCCAGGCCCCAGCUGCAGGGAUUGGUGCAGGAAUGAGCCCAAGGACAUGUAGCCCAGGGACAUCCAGUGACCAUCAAUCUUGGAGCUUUUGCUGGCAUUACUGGAGGGCAGAUACUAUAUUGGAGUGGGUAAGUGGGAUUUGGGCCUGCAUGGCCAGUGGGGAAGACUCUGAGAAUGAAACCAACAAAGAAGAAAUUAGAGCCAAGAUAAAAAGCUUCAGGGAGAGUCUGUCCUAGCAACAAAUAAAGUUUGAGCACCUGGAACCAGGUAUGCCUAAAACCCAUACCUCUG